CUCGUCUCGCUGGGGUGUCUGUCCGAAAGGAUGGGCUGAGAAAAACCCAUAGAACCUGAACCAGGUCAUGCUGGCGGAGGAAGUUCGAGAUGGCAAGGG
rnacentral:ncRNA from 2 species